rnacentral:tRNA from 1 species
UUUUUAUAGUUGAAUAACAACGGCGGUUUUUCAGAUCGUAAGUUUUGGUUCAAGUCCAGAUAAAAAUGG